CCAUCCGCUCCGCAUGGUUUGCCUCGCCGCGCGGCCGUCGCCCCUCACGCCUCACACAUGCCUUUUGCGUCAUCGCCAGGGUCCUCGAGCUGACACUAGGCUAAACCUCACGGCCGUCCUCACCACGGGUCCACGGUAAGCUCCUCCUCCGCCGUGUACUGAACUCGACCACGGCGAGCUCCUAACACCGCGUCUGUACGUCUCCGAUCGAACACACCCUGCUUCCUCUUCUUCCACAACACCUGAAUCGACGGGGCCUCUCGAUGCAAAAGGCCGGGCCCAGGGAGUGGAGCGCGGUGCGCCGGAAUCGAUCCAUCGAGGACUGGCAUCAAGCAUUCAAGCUCCACUGUAGUAGCACCAUCUCCGGUCAUCUUCGGAGUUAGGACCAAUCACUGCCUUCCGUGUCCUUCAGCUCAAAGAAGCUCCGCCAACAGCUAGCUCCACAAGCGCUGGCUUUUGCAUCAACCACGCUGGCCCUGCUCAUGGUUGUAUUUGCCAUCAUCACUACAGACAGUGUCAAGUCGCUUCCUCCCUCCUGCUCAGCUCUCGAUCUCCACGGCGUUUGCAUCCCGCCAGCAAAGUUAGGAGAGGUAAGGACUGCCCUUGAUUCAUUUAUUAUUUUUCUUUUGUUAGUUAUAUAUUUAAUUCUUUCAUGCUCUGCUCGAUUCUGGAUCUGCUGCACUUACCAAAAAAUGGUGUAUUCUAAGGUUCAGUCAUCCCAUUAUCCAAGCAGUGUCAAGUUCUUUACCAAAUGAGCUACUUAUACGUAGCUUUGUUCUGACGUAGCUUUGUUCUGACACAAAUUAAAGUUCAUCUCUGUGGUUUGUCAAACAGCAGUAAGCAAUGCCAAGCAAAAAAAUACCAAGAACUGCAACUUUCAGUUAGUACCUUCACUAUUACAACGCCAUACAGAGUGCAGAAAAAUAUGCCGCCUCAUAUGAUGACCAUGGAAUUGACAUCUUCUAAUAUAGAGGCACCCCCUAGAGCAGCAUGGAGCAGUCAUUAAGUGAUACAUUAUUCAUCUGUACCUUAUGCCAUAUAUGUGACCUAUUGCUGUUUCAUUUUGAAUUGAUACCUUUUCUCAUAUGUAUGAGUAGAUUUUGAAAAGGUGAAAGAUGUCAUUUAAGUUAUGCAGGAACUGUACUGAAGUGAGGCUUCAAUAGUAUUCUUACCACAAAGAAUGCUGUAAUGUGUUAAAACCUCUUGAUUGACUACACGACAUGCUACAUUUUGUGACUAGGCAAUGCUGUAGUCACUUAUGCUUUGCAAA